CUGAGUUUAGGAAGAGUAUUGUUCUCACUGCCCAUUCUCAGUGGGUUAAUGUGACUUGGAUUGAAUUCUCGCUAAUAAUUGCAAGAGAAAACGCGUGUGCUAAGCACGGUGUGUGGCACUUCUUAAAUGUUAACGUGUUUAUUAGUAUUAUAAACAAAGUCAUUAGUCGGAAACCAACAGUAAAAUUGACUCUACAAGGAAACUUUUCAAAAAACGUGUAAUAUAAAAAUGCACUGAAAUGCAUUUUCCACUUAUGCUUGGCAUUUUCUGUUCAGAAUUAAACAUAAAAUUCAAAGCAGUGGAGCUAAAGAAGACAUUUGAAUUAUUUCAUUGGUGCAAACUGACUAGAGAGCAGUGAAAACUUGAGCAAAAAGUGAUGGAUGGACAACAGCCACCCUAACCAGGUUGCAUUUCUAAAGUCAAAUGAGAUACACGAUAUUCUAGAAAACUAACUUUUUGUUGCUGUCAUUUUUGAACUUUUCUUUCCUCUAAAAUAACACAACGUCUGCUUUGUCAAUAAUGCAUGCUCAAAACAGAUGCAAGUGCACGAGGAGCAGUUAGGAGGAAUUUGGGGACUAUUAUAUCGCAGCAAAAAUGCUUUCCUGUGUCAUUGCUGUUGAGAUCCACUUGCUGGUGAAAUAAUAUUUUCCUCUAAUAUGGUGUAGAUUGCAGCAACAGUUCAGAUGUAACCAUUUAGGAGCAAAGGCCUAGCUCCGUAUGCCAGAAAAAAAAAAAAAAAAAAAAAAAAAACACGCACCACAAAGAGCAUUGAGAUGAAUGGCCCUAUUUUAUGAGCCAUAAAAGUUUUAUUCAUCUUGACACUGAAACAGGUUUAGGCAGUGAGUUGACACGCCUUAAAUAAAUAAGUGGAAUUAAUUCCCCAGCCCUUGAAACAAUAGCAGCAUGCAUGUAGCAUGGAGAAAUGCCCCAUUGUUUCCUGUGGCUGCCUGAUAUUGAUAUUAUUUGUGUUUUUCUGUGCUGCUGCCUCAGGGGCCUGGUUGAUCCACUUCAGAUUCAUCCCCUGUUUUAUUAGAGGUUGAAAAAGGUUCAAGACCUGUUUGUACCACAGCUCCCACCGACAGCUAAGGAACCAGUUUGGCGUCUGGUUUGUCUGUUGUUUUACUGCUGACCUUCAAAUCAACUUUAACCCCUGACCUCUGGAGGCAUCUAUCAUGACAAGAGGCUGUUUAACACAAAUGGUGCCCAUUUAUAGGGGAAGAGACUCAGAAGAUUUCCUUUUUAUGAAGAAUUUAGUUUUUCACCCCUCUUUUCUCAGGCACCACAGGUGAAAUCCCUCUUAGCAGCUGGCUUAUGAAAUAAUGGGAAGGGGGGCCUUAAUGAGCAGAAAGCAUCCUCAGCUGGAGAUAAAUAUAUGCAAAUGAGAUGCACAAACAAAGGAGCCUGGACAGAGAAAUAUCUGCAAUUCUAGCAAAAUGCUGCCUGCAGCUCGAAGAUGAACAGCUUUGAUAAAAUGCGAGAAAUAUUCCUCAUGUGGGCGGAGGACUCAGGCACACGGGACCUGCAACAAGCAACGAGGCUAAAAAAUAGUUAAAAUGAAUCAACAUUUAUCUGGAAUCUACAGUCUUGACCUAAAAAAAAAAAAUCAUUUAUCUUCCGUGUCCUGUGAUGUUUUGAGGAUUCUGGCAAAUAUGGCAGUUAAACAAACUUCUCUCAUAAUCUAAAUACUGUCUGUUCAAGAGAGGCUUCCAAUGUUUAUAGCCCAUAAGUAAAGAAAAAAAAAAAAAAAAAAACUGGUAUUUCACCAAGAACAGUGCUCUUGAAAAUGUCUCUGAACAAAGUGUUCAAGCAAAACUUUGACCGCAGAUAUUUUCAAUUCCUCAUUCUUCCUCUGAUUUUUUUUUUCAAUGAGGUAUUCUGAUAGUCUCUCCUUUCACUCCUUUUUCUUGAAAGUAAUGAAUGCAUUUCCAAAAAAUUAACGCCUGACUAGUGACCUGGUCAUACAAACUUCCUUGAGAAACAGUUGAGAAGAAAACAUCACAUUUUUAUGAACCCCGUCUCCUGCCAGGGGCCCCGGAGGAGGAACACCAUUAUGCAUUGUUAUCAGCGUGGUGUAAUUUGACUGUUGACAAAGUAUCCGUGGCAGUGAGAAUGAGCGCAGUUAGAAGUGUGGCGGAUUGUAAUCAAGAAGAUGCUUAGCUGUGCAACACUGCAUCUUGAGCAGAUUUGAAUCAACAUUGCCUUAAGGGGACACACACACAUACCAAAAGGAACAAAAAAAAAAAAAAUCCAUUAAUUUUUAGAGGGAAAAUUAGAGUGGCACUUGAUGAAGUGAAAUUUGACAUGCGUUAAUUGCUCUGCAGCUCCCCUAAUUAGAGAUUUUCAAAUUCUUUUACUGCUGUCACCAUGAUGGCACAGUGUCUUGCUGGACAAAUAGUGAAAUGGCAAAAUUCGUUUGAUUGGGAAGUUUUACGCAGCAAGAUUGGAUGGUAUCUUCCGAGUCUACUUUCAAAAGAUGGACAGCUGGAGAGCAAAGAGGCGUUAGCAGCUUUACCUCCAGCGCAGAGAAAAAACAGGCUUAUUAAAAUAGUUGCAUUAUGAGACUUAAUGUAAAGGAAGCAGGUGCUGAUGGGAUUUUCUUAAACAGAUGGAAAUGUUCCUUUGGUACUCAGGCUCUGUUUCCAAUGAAAUAUUUCAGGUGGAAAAAAAAAAAAAAAAAGCCAGCGAGAUGCUACAUUAUAUACGCAUUCUCCUAUUUCUACCUACAUUCUUCAGAAAGUGGGGAGAGGCAGAUUUUGAAAGGCUGUGUCAUGUUUUUCCCAAGUCUGAAGUCGCAGGCAAACAGUACUUUUGAUCUCCUUCUUAAUCUUAAUUAUACUGCCGCGUGGCCUCCAGCAUGGCACCAAAUAUGAUACCAUCAUAAUUUUGGUUUCCCUUUUCAACCCCUCUUGUCUAGCCCUUGAACCUCUCUUAAUUCAUUAACAUACUGAAUUUUUUCAAUUUUCCAUUUUCUUGCAAUAACAAUAUUAAUGCCGGGUGAAAGCUUGAUUGGACCUAAAUUACUUGUUACCUGCUGGCAUUUAUUUAUAUGGCAUUGAAUUAUAAAGCUUUGCUAUUGUCAUGCCUUGGGCGAAUUGUUUAUGACACCAGUAAUAGGAGUAAUUGUUAUUGUUGAAAUUACCUGUCAGCUACCCAUAGCAGUGGCCCUUGUCCCACUGACAAAUAGUGACAAGGGAGAGGUAUCCUCCAUGCGUCCCCCUGAUGGCUUCUCCUCUGAUAAUAAGAAGUGCAGGGCCUCUGAUAAUUUGCCUGUCACUGUUGAGUGCAGCUCAGAGAGAGUUGGCCAAAUUGUUGUCAUUCACUUUGACAAAGACAGCAAAAUGCCCCCGUGCAGAAGGAGGAUUAUCAAAAUAAAUGAAAUCGCUUACACCCCCUUUGUUUGUUUGGCCCAAGAAUUGCCUGGCUUUGUAUGAGGUUGUGAAAUUAGGGUCCAGUUCUUCUGGGUGUAGCGCUAUUCAUGCUAAAAUGAGGAUCCCAGGCAAAGAGUAGGCAUUUUAUGACUCACUGUUUUGCUGUUCACAUUGGUUAUUAAAAAAUUAUAGUCUGAUAUAAAGAGAGUCAAUAAAAGUGUAACAAGAAGUCUACACAUGUGCUUGAACGCCUUAGUUGAAAGCACAUGUAAAAUUCGCACCUUUUGCUCUCCUGCCUUCUUUUUAUUCCUCUUUUUUCCUUUUUGGACCCUUGCAGGCAUUCGAAUUCAAUAGGAGAACCGAAAAAUGCCCAAAGUUCCCAGUUGCCAUCAAGUUUUCUUUAAAAGUGGAAAUCUGCAUCUCUGACUCUUAAAGCCUUAAAAGAUUACACAGGCAAAUUUAGGAUUAUUAUUUCAAAUGGCUGUUUCCUCGCCAUAAAUUAUCUUUUAUUUAUAGAAUAUCUUCAUGUGUAAAGAGAGAAAUGAAACGUAGUUCCAGGUAUGAAGCAUCAAUUAUCACAGGCUAACAGAGGAAGCAAAAUGACUCUGUUAUUGCCAGAGCUCAAAUAUAAAUAUUUGCAUUUUAAAACCCCUUGGUUGCAGCCUGUGAACCUGUCAUAGAGGAGAGAAGGGGACGGGGGAGUGGGGGAUGGUGUCCGGGCGGCUCCACAUCUGAAAGAAAUGGACUUUAAAGUAAUCAAACCUCGGCUCUUGUAAAAACUAAAAUCAUUUUCACCAUUUCACAAAAGGCAUCAUUUCACGCUAGGCAAAUUCUUAUUUUUAAGGGGCCCCUGAGGUUACAGCUCAUAGGUCUUCUUGGCAAAUACUUGCCGUUAUAAGAAGUUGCAAAGAAAAGGAAAAAAAAAAUAACUAAGAUAAAUGUAAAAUAUUGGCUCCUUACAGGAUAGUAAUCAGCUCUUUAUUGGUCUCUACCAGACAAGGAAUGACCAAGCCGGGU